rnacentral:rRNA from 1 species
UACGUAGGGCGCAAGCGUUGUCCGGAAUUAUUGGGCGUAAAGAGCUCGUAGGCGGUGUGUCGCGUCGGAUGUGAAAGCCCGGGGCUUAACCCCGGGUCUGCAUUCGAUACGGGCAGACUGGAGUGUGGUAGGGGAGAUCGGAAUUCCUGGUGUAGCGGUGAAAUGCGCAGAUAUCAGGAGGAACACCGGUGGCGAAGGCGGAUCUCUGGGCCUUACCUGACGCUCAGGCGCGAAAGCUAGGGGAGCGAACAGG